ACUUGCAGACCGGACUUCAGUAUACGAAAUUGGGUUUCUUUUAAUUUUGCCUUUAAUAAAUUAUAAUUUUGUAUUUUCUACUUUCUUUUUUCGUUUAUGACUGUCCUCCUAGAGAAUAUUAGAUGAUGUUGUUGACUCAGGAAUACAUAAAGUGACCAGAAUCGACGUCCAGACACCGUUGUACGAAAUACAAGUGUUCAGAAAGAGGAUAAAAGGAGUUGGCACAGAGGAAAAACGGAAGAAACUAUUAUUUUCGUAGGCAAAAUUUAAAUGCAAACUGUGCCGUAGUAAUGACAUGAAAAACCCAAAAAACGACUAGUUAAUACUUCGUAUGCCGAAUUUUAGCAUCGUAAACUUGACCAAACGUUGAACAUACUCGGCUCGAAUUUAUAUCCAUUAUUCGAGAAGACGUUCCAUAAAGUUUUCAAUAAUAUUUGCAGUCCGAGGAUUGUGGAGAGGUUCUCGGUAGCUUCGGACAAUUGAAAACUACCACGUGCGUGUUUUCACGCUUUUUGUUUCCAAGCACUAUUUCGGCAUAUCUUGAAUGUUUUACAGCGAGUGUUUAGCGUCUGCCCCGACAUGCAGA